rnacentral:rRNA from 1 species
GACGUAGGGCGCGAGCGUUGUCCGGAUUUAUUGGGCGUAAAGAGCUCGUAGGCGGCUUGUCGCGUCGACUGUGAAAACCCGCGGCUCAACUGCGGGCCUGCAGCCGAUACGGGCAGGCUAGAGUUCGGUAGGGGAGACUGGAAUUCCUGGUGUAGCGGUGAAAUGCGCAGAUAUCAGGAGGAACACCGGUGGCGAAGGCGGCCUGCUGGGCAGUUACUGACACUGAGGCGCGACAGCGUGGGGAGCAAACAGG